GACGAACGCUGGCGGCGUGCUUAACACAUGCAAGUCGAACGGAAAGGCCCUGCUUUUGUGGGGUGCUCGAGUGGCGAACGUGUGAGUAACACGUGAGUACUCUUCCCUUGACUUUGGGAUAACUUCAGGAAACUGUGGCUAAUACCGGAUAGGAGCUCCUGCUUCAUGGUGUGGGUUGGAAAGUUUCGUCGGUUGGGGAUGGACUCGCGGCUUAUCAGCUUGUUGGUGGGGUAGUGGCUUACCAAGGCUUUGACGGGUAGCCGGCCUGAGAGGGUGACCGGCAAAAUGGGGACUGAGAUACGGCCCAGACUCCUACGGGAGGCAGCAGUGGGGAAUAUUGCACAAUGGGCGGAAGCCUGAUGCAGCAACGCCGCGGGCGGGAUGACGGCCUUCGGGUUGUAAACCGCUUUCGCCUGUGACGAAGCGUGAGUGACGGUAAUGGGUAAAGAAGCACCGGCUAACUACGUG
rnacentral:rRNA from 1 species